rnacentral:rRNA from 1 species
AUUGAACGCUGGCGGCAUGCCUUACACAUGCAAGUCGAACGGCAGCACGGGGCAACCUGGUGGCGAGUGGCGAACGGGUGAGUAAUGCAUCGGAACGUGCCAUUGAGUGGGGGAUAACGUAGCGAAAGUUGCGCUAAUACCGCAUAUUCUGUGAGCAGGAAAGCAGGGGACCGCAAGGCCUUGCGCUCUUUGAGCGGCCGAUGUCAGAUUAGCUAGUUGGUGAGGUAACGGCUUACCAAGGCGACGAUCUGUAGCGGGUCUGAGAGGAUGAUCCGCCACACUGGAACUGAGACACGGUCCAGACUCCUACGGGAGACAGCAGUGGGGAAUUUUGGACAAUGGGCGCAAGCCUGAUCCAGCCAUGCCGCGUGAGUGAAGAAGGCCUUCGGGUUG